CUUUGGUUCCCUAUGGUAGGAAUCUUCUUACUCCCACCUUUAAGAAUUCACUGACACAGAACUUCUCCCCCAGAAUUCGGAUAACAAGCUAGAAUGAUGUAAGAAAACUGACAAAGAUUUCAAGGAACCAAGACGGCAGUAUUGAAAAGAUUGUACGGUUUACUUGAAACCUAGAAGUAAGAAAAAUUUAAAAGAAGGUAGUGUCUGCACAGUAAAAACAAACCAU